GACGAACGCUGGCGGCGUGCCUAAUACAUGCAAGUCGAACGCUUCUUUCCUCCCGAGUGCUUGCACUCAAUUGGAAAGAGGAGUGGCGGACGGGUGAGUAACACGUGGGUAACCUACCCAUCAGAGGGGGAUAACACUUGGAAACAGGUGCUAAUACCGCAUAACAGUUUAUGCCGCAUGGCAUAAGAGUGAAAGGCGCUUUCGGGUGUCGCUGAUGGAUGGACCCGCGGUGCAUUAGCUAGUUGGUGAGGUAACGGCUCGCCAAGGCCACGAUGCAUAGCCGACCUGAGAGGGUGAUCGGCCACACUGGGACUGAGACACGGCCCAGACUCCUACGGGAGGCAGCAGUAGGGAAUCUUCGGCAAUGGACGAAAGUCUGACCGAGCAACGCCGCGUGAGUGAAGAAGGUGUUCGGAUCGUAAAACUCUGUUGUUAGAGAAGAACAAGGACGUUAGUAACUGAACGUCCCCUGACGGUAUCUAACCAGAAAGCCACGGCUAACUACGUG
rnacentral:rRNA from 1 species